UACGUAGGGUGCGAGCGUUAAUCGGAUUUACUGGGCGUAAAGCGUGCGCAGGCGGCCCGUUAAGACAGGUGUGAAAUCCCUGGGCUCAACCUAGGAAUUGCGCUUGUGACUGGCGGGCUCGAGUACGGUAGAGGGGGGUGGAAUUCCUGGUGUAGCGGUGAAAUGCGUAGAGAUCUGGAGGAAUACCGGUGGCGAAGGCGGCCCCCUGGGCCUGUACUGACGCUCAUGCACGAAAGCGUGGGGAGCAAACAGG
rnacentral:rRNA from 1 species